AUUCAGCUGACGAGUCCCAAAUAGGACGAGAGGAGCGUCCUGGAU
rnacentral:hammerhead_ribozyme from 1 species